GGUGGGUUGGCUUAGCGGUUAGAGCGUAGGUCUCGAAACCGAAAGGUCGCGGGAUCGAAUCCCGCAGGGGCUG
rnacentral:tRNA from 1 species